rnacentral:lncRNA from 1 species
AAGAAGAAAAAAAAAAAGAAAGGAAAACUUCAAAAAACCCCUGUGGUUUCGUAUUUUUUCAUUUUAGUACCCUACAGUUUAAAGUGUAUCAAGUUUGUACCAUGUAAUUUCGCACUUUCUCAUUUUAAUACCCUGUGGUUUAAAGUGUAUUAAGUUAGUACCCUGUGAUUUUAUUUUUGUAUCAAAUUAGUACUCUAUGGUUCUAUUUUUGUAUCAACUUAGUAUCAUGUGGUUUUAUUUUUCUCUUAAUGAAAUAUUAAACCACAGGGUACUAAAAUGAGAAAGUGUGAAAUCACAGAGUACUAACUUGAUUCACUUUAAACCACAGGGUACUAAAGUGAGAAAGUGCGAAACCACAAGGUGCUAACUUGAUACACUUUAAACCACAGGGUACUAAAGUGAGAAAAAGUGAAACCACACGGAGGGUAUUUAAAGUUUUUCCAAAAAAAAAAGAAACAAAAAAAAAAAAGGUCAUAACUUAAAGUGAAGAUGACACCUUUUAUUGGCAUCAAGAUUUGCUAAUGGGCAUUGGAUGUGUCUAAACAAGUGGGAAAUCUACAAAAAAAACUUUCUUCCAUCACAAGUCUUCCAUCAUUCAUCAACUUUCACCACACAUAAAGUCCAACUGAUUCACCAGCUCUUCAAUGAGAAUGCCUUUUCAUUUUAGAAAAGGGUAUUGAUAUUAACGCGUCUGUUUGUAGUAUUUACAGGACAAGUUCUCUGUAUCUAGUCGUAGUUAAAUUAAACUGUUUUGUUCUCGCAUGACUUAAGCUUUGCUUGGGAUUGCAGAAAAAUUACGUCGUGUGCGGUGAAAAAAUACGAUAGAAAAAUACUAUGCUUAUUUCCGUAUGUAAUAUCGCAUUCUGUAUAUCGCAAUGAGUCAGUUAUAAUAUACUUUUUAUGGUCUUAUCGGAAAACGUAGAUACAUAUUCUUGUAUACUUUUGUUCCAAUUCUAUUUUUUAUUUAUUAACGUUAAAACGAGCCUCAAUACCAAACAGGCUCCUACAGAAAUGCAACACAUUACCGACCGUCCCUAGAGCAAGUAGCAAAGGACUUGGUGGUUGGUACCCGAGACCCAAGUUUGAAUCUUAGUUGAUUCACAUUUCAGCUAAGUUUAUUUCUAAAUGAAAUAAACGAAGCGGGUAGCGUGCUACCUAUCUCUCAAAAAAAAAAAAAAUUGCAACACAUUAAAAAGAAUUUAAUUCAAAACAAAUUUUCUCGCAAAUUGAA